rnacentral:rRNA from 1 species
GACGAACGCUGGCGGCGUGCUUAACACAUGCAAGUCGAACGGAAAGGCCUGCUUUCCCUUGUGGAUUGCGGGUACUCGAGUGGCGAACGGGUGAGUAACACGUGAGUGAUCUGCCCCCAACUUGGGUAUAAGCCUGGGAAACUGGGUCUAAUUCCCGAUAGGACUGCAGGGUGGUGCCUGUGGUGGAAAACGAUUUUCUAGUGGUUGGGGGUGAGCUCGCGGCCUAUCAGCUUGUUGGUGGGGUAAUGGCCUACCAAGGCGGCGACGGGUAGCCGGCCUGAGAGGGUGGACGGCCACAUUGGGACUGAGAUACGGCCCAGACUCCUAGGGGAGGCAGCAGCGGGGAAUAUGGCACAAUGGGCGGAAGCCUGAUGCAGCGACGCCGCGUGGGGGAUGACGGCCUUCGGGCUGUAAACUCCUUUCGACCGCGAGGAAGCCACCUGGUUGGAAGGGUGGUGACGGUAGUGGUAGAAGAAGCACCGGCUAACUACGUG